AGAGUUUGAUCCUGGCUCAGGACGAACGCUGGCGGCGUGCUUCAGACAUGCAAGUCGGACGAGAAAGCCUCUUCGGAGGUGAGUACAGUGGCGCACGGGUGAGUAACACGUGGGUAAUCUGCCCUUGGGUUUGGGAUAACCCCGGGAAACCGGAGCUAAUACCGAAUGAGACCACGACGACUUCGGUCGAUGUGGGAAAAGGUGGCCUCUUCUUGAAAGCUAUCGCCAAAGGAUGAGCCCGCGCUUGAUUAGCUUGUUGGUGAGGUAACGGCUCACCAAGGCGACGAUCAAUAGCUGAUCUGAGAGGAUGAUCAGCCACACUGGAACUGAGACACGGUCCAGACUCCUACGGGAGGCAGCAGUCGGGAAUAUUGGGCAAUGGGCGAAAGCCUGACCCAGCAACGCCGCGUGAAGGAUGAAGGCCCUAGGGUCGUAAACUUCUGUCGAGAGGGAAGAAUGCUUGCGGGUGAAUAAUUCGUAAGUUUGACGGUACCUCCAAAGGAAGCACCGGCUAACUCCGUGCCAGCAGCCGCGGUAAUACGGAGGGUGCAAGCGUUGUUCGGAUUUAUUGGGCGUAAAGCGAGUGUAGGCGGCUUGGCAAGUCGGAUGUGAAAUCCCAGGGCCCAACCCUGGAACUGCAUCCGAUACUGCCAGGCUAGAGUCCCGGAGAGGGUGGCGGAAUUCCCGGUGUAGGGGUGAUAUCCGUAGAUAUCGGGA
rnacentral:rRNA from 1 species